GGACCUGCAGCUCAGAGCCAGUUCCAGUUUGAACUGCUUCAUGUCACGAGUCGGUGAGACAGAGUGUGAGGAUCAGUGUUAACAGGAGGAGGAGGAGGGACGCUCUCGGCUCUAAUAGAGCCCACUGUGUUGGUUUGACAGCCUCGUUAAUUAUCUCAUUUAAACACUUAUUACCCACAGCUGUCAACUUAAAGGAGCAACAGGGGGCUGAGAGAACAAAGACUCUGAGGAACCCUGAGGUCUGACGACACGGAGCGAGCCCAGGACAAAUCUGACUGACGCUGGAGACAUCGCACAUGGAGCUUCUGAGCGUCUUGUACGGACCCCCCCCCUUGUCCCCUGAACGGGCCCCUCUGUCACAGCAUUUAGCAUCGGGCGCUAAUCAGGGACGGCCUCCAUACUGUCGUCCCCAGCGAGCAGGUGGAGCAGGCGAAGACUGAUGACUCUCACAUGCACAUGGAGCCCUGGAGCCGGGAUCGAGCCUCGCUGCCUCUAACUGCUCAAAUAUGUCCCAUUUACAUCCACUUGGACAUUUUGGAAAAUAUCUGACCUGCAGCUGGAAGACGAUGGUAACUCCCACAAACCUGCGGGGCAGAGACAGGAUUUGAAAACAAGCACCCGUGGCUCUGUUCCAGAUUCAAUUUAAAUAUUUUAGAGCAGGUCCGCGCCUGCAGCCACGAAUUGUUUAACAUUAACGCUCGACAUAUUUUCUGUUUCCUCUCAGACAUGUCACAGUUUGGAUUUAAUGAAGUCACCAGCACGAGAACAUGUUUGUCUGAAUCGCACACGAUAUAACGUGAUUAUGAAAAUAUGCUCAUGUGAAUAUUUCAACCAUCUGAGGAGCCUCAUGUUUUAAUCAAACAUGUGAAACACAUGAGGAUCAAAAUGAUUCUUUUAAUAUUGAAUAUUUUACUGAAUUGAAAUCUGAUGUUUUCUUCAUUUUCCUAAAGUUCAGUCUGUGGCAGCACAUGGUCAAAACUAUGUGGACAUGUAACAUGUGACAUGUUACAUGAUCUGUUAAUAUACAGGUUUGAUAAUAAAGUUCAUCAGAGCUGGU